AGUGUUGGUACAUAUAAAUGUCAGGAAACCCAAUUCCUGGCCACCUGUCAAUGUCCAUGGACCACUAGUUCUUUGUUUCCCUAGAGCCAGCCAAGUUGCAGGAUGUUUUGCCAUGCAAGCUCAAUGUUUGACACUUUGUUGCUUUCAAAAUGACUCCUGUAUCCGCUCUUCAGGUUAAGGGCUGUCUGGGAUGUGUGUAAAUGAAAGCACAGAAUACGAGUAAACAAUUACGCAAUGCCAGAAAAGCCUCAGUGACUUUACUGUGGAGGAAGCAGUGUUGUCCAGUGUUCUCAUGUAUCCUCUCACCUCGAAGAAGCUCUCCACAUACUGUAGCACGUAAACUCCACAGUCACUGAAGUUAUCCUGCUGGGGCACACGAGGACUCGAGCCCUUCAUCACCUCUUUCCCGAAACUCCU